AUUGAACGCUGGCGGCAUGCUUUACACAUGCAAGUCGAACGGUAACAGGCCGCAAGGUGCUGACGAGUGGCGAACGGGUGAGUAAUGCAUCGGAACGUGCCCAGUCGUGGGGGACAACGCAGCGAAAGCUGCGCUAAUACCGCAUACGAUCUAUGGAUGAAAGCGGGGGACCGUAAGGCCUCGCGCGAUUGGAGCGGCCGAUGUCAGAUUAGGUAGUUGGUGGGGUAAAGGCCUACCAAGCCAACGAUCUGUAGCUGGUCUGAGAGGACGACCAGCCACACUGGGACUGAGACACGGCCCAGACUCCUACGGGAGGCAGCAGUGGGGAAUUUUGGACAAUGGGCGCAAGCCUGAUCCAGCAAUGCCGCGUGCAGGAAGAAGGCCUUCGGGUUGUAAACUGCUUUUGUACGGAACGAAAAGGCUCUGGUUAAUACCUGGGGCUCAUGACGGUACCGUAAGAAUAAGCACCGGCUAACUACGUGCCAGCAGCCGCCGUAAGAC
rnacentral:rRNA from 1 species